ACCAGGUCUUGACAUCUUGCGCCAACCCUAGAGAUAGGGCGUUUCCUUCGGGAACGCAAUGACAGGUGGUGCAUGGUCGUCGUCAGCUCGUGUCGUGAGAUGUUGGGUUAAGUCCCGCAACGAGCGCGACCCUUGUUACUAGUUGCCAGCAUUAAGUUGGGCACUCUAGUGAGACUGCCGGUGACAAACCGGAGGAAGGA
rnacentral:rRNA from 1 species